CCGGUUUUCAGGAGCAGAGACCCCCGUCAUUGAUAAGUUUUUUAUUCGUUCCAGGGCCAGGCCUGAGCUCCCCAGAGCAACGACCCAGGCUCUGGCCUACCAUGUUCCCAGCUGUCCCCCAUGCUGUCCGAUGGAUUGAUGGAUGCAGAACACACGGGAUAAAGAUAAUUCUCGACCCACAGUCGGCUUCCGUGAAGGUGGAGGGAGGCUCCCUGAGCACACUUUCAUCUCUGCAUUAAUUAUAAUGGUGGAAAACAGAAAAAUAUCCUCGACGUGCAGCCAAAGAAAACCGGAUGAGAAGGUCAUGGGCAAUCCUUGAGAGAAAAAAUUGUAGCCCUGAGGUACCCAAAAGGAUUGACAGCAGGGACUCAAACGGAGACUUGUACACUCACGUUCAAGGCAGCGUGAUUCACAAGAGCCAAAUGCUGUGUCCACGGACGGAUGACGGAUAAACAACCUGGUCCAUCCACACGAUGGAAUAUUAUUCAGCCUUAAAAAAGAGACAUUUUGACACCUGCUACAACAUGGGUGAACCCUGAGGAUAUUAUGCUCAGUGACACAUCCCAUGUGAUUCUACUCUUGUGAGGUCCCCAGAGGAGUCAGAUUCAGAGAUAGAGAAUAGAUGGUGGGUGA